UGGGGAAUUUUGGACAAUGGGCGAAAGCCUGAUCCAGCAAUGCCGCGUGUGUGAAGAAGGCCUUCGGGUUGUAAAGCACUUUUGUCCGGAAAGAAAUGGCUCUGGUUAAUACCUGGGGUCGAUGACGGUACCGGAAGAAUAAGGACCGGCUAACUACGUGCCAGCAGCCGCGGUAAUACGUAGGGUCCAAGCGUUAAUCGGAAUUACUGGGCGUAAAGCGUGCGCAGGCGGUUGUGCAAGACCGAUGUGAAAUCCCCGAGCUUAACUUGGGAAUUGCAUUGGUGACUGCACGGCUAGAGUGUGUCAGAGGGGGGUAGAAUUCCACGUGUAGCAGUGAAAUGCGUAGAGAUGUGGAGGAAUACCGAUGGCGAAGGCAGCCCCCUGGGAUAACACUGACGCUCAUGCACGAAAGCGUGGGGAGCAAACAGGAUUAGAUACCCUGGUAGUCCACGCCCUAAACGAUGUCAACUAGUUGUUGGGGAUUCAUUUCCUUAGUAACGUAGCUAACGCGUGAAGUUGACCGCCUGGGGAGUACGGUCGCAAGAUUAAAAGCUCAAAGG
rnacentral:rRNA from 1 species